rnacentral:tRNA from 1 species
GCUCCGUUCGCCUAAUGGAUAUGGCAAUUCUCUUCUAAAGAAUUAUAAUACAGGUUCAAGUCCUGUACGGAGUGCCA